UACGGAGGAUGCGAGCGUUAUCCGGAUUUAUUGGGUUUAAAGGGUGCGCAGGCGGCACGGCAAGCCGGCGGUCAAAUCGCGGGGCUCAACCCCGCCCAGCCGUCGGAACUGCCGGGCUAGAGUGGGCGAGAAGUGCGCGGAAUGCGUGGUGUAGCGGUGAAAUGCAUAGAUAUCACGCAGAACUCCGAUUGCGAAAGCAGCGCACCGGCGCCCUACUGACGCUCAGGCACGAAAGCGUGGGUAUCGAACAGG
rnacentral:rRNA from 1 species